UACGGGGGGGUAAGCGUUGUUCGGAAUCACUGGGCGUAAAGGGCGCGUAGGCGGCUUUAUAAGUCGGGGGUGAAAGCCUGUGGCUCAACCACAGAAUUGCCUUCGAUACUGUAGAGCUUGAGACCGGAAGAGGUAAGUGGAACUGCGAGUGUAGAGGUGAAAUUCGUAGAUAUUCGCAAGAACACCAGUGGCGAAGGCGGCUUACUGGUCCGGUUCUGACGCUGAGGCGCGAAAGCGUGGGGAGCAAACAGGG
rnacentral:rRNA from 1 species